CUCCCCAUUCCACAGGACAGAGAAUUGAGGCUGAGAGGGGUAAAGAAGUUCCUGUGAAUUAGUAACAGAGAUUCAAACCCAGAUCUGACUGGCCCCGGAAGCCUCACUUUCAACAACUGUCCACUUUGCCCUGAGCUUCGAGGUUGACCUGUCGCUCUUCAGGGCCUUUGGUGCCCACAUUACCCCAGGGAAUCCUGUGUGCAUGGUCAGAUGAGGGGGCACAGAGGGGACAGUGGGUCCAAAGGCAGGCUCCGGGGCCAGAUGGUUCAGGUUUGGACCCAUUUCCCAUGCAUGACUGUGGAUAAGGUGCUUAACCUUCUGUCUUCCUGUCCAGGCACAGGGGUUGAGAUCCUGACCAGGCUGCAGCGGUGAUGAGAGACGAGUCCAUGCAGGUGAGGCACACAGCUGGAGUUUGUCACCACGGAAGAGCUCCAGCUGCCCACUCUGCACCGCCACCCGGAUGUCCCAUCCACAACUCAAGUCUGCCAUUGCCAAAGCUGAGCUCGCCGCCUCCUCCCCAAACCUGCUCUCCUCCCAAGAAGAUCUUAUUAUGUAAAUAACACUUUUUGUGCCUUUUGCUUAAGAGAUGUUGCUGAGAAAGGCAUUUUGGAAUGGACUUGAGAUGUCCUGACCUCUUCCAAAAUAACACAGAGGAAAAGGUCAGAAAUGCAAAGGAGACCCUUCCGAAUUAAGAGGUCGGAACAAGCAUCUGGUGCAGCCCCUUAGGAGGACGCUACACCACGAGCAUGAUGGGAUUUUUUUUUUUUUGGACAGGCAGAGUGGACAGUGAGACAGAGACAGAGAGAAAGGUCUUCCUUUGCUGUUGCUUCACCCUCCAAUGGCCGCCGCAGCCAGCGCGCUGCGGCCGGCGCACCGCGCUGAUCCGAUGGCAGGAGCCAGGUGCUUCUCCUGGUCUCCCAUGGGGUGCAGGGCCCAAGCACCUGGGCCAUCCUCCACUGCCUUCCCGGGCCACAGCAGAGAGCUGGCCUGGAAGAGGGGCAACCGGGACAGAAUCCGGUGCCCCAACCGGGACUAGAACCUGGUGUGCCGGCGCCGCAAAGCGGAGGAUUAGCCUAGUGAGCCAUGGCGCCGACUGCGAUGGGAUUUUUAAAGACAUAAAUCUACAAGGGAAAACGAAACAUGAAAAUAACCACUAUGCUGAUGAAUGAGAAGGAACCAACAGACCUGAAUUCCAGCCUACCACUGGGAAAAUCCAGGAACCCACUGGAUACGUUCAAGAGAAGGCUCAGGAAAUCUCGGGAACCCAUGGCACCAGAUGCUCCUGAGACUGAGAGUAAAGUCGUGCGGAGUAUCGGAUUAAUUGAAAUCUGUUUGGAAGAGGUUGGACGCCUGGGUCCCGUCUCCAGCUCCACACUGCUGGGUGACUGCUCUGCUCCCACUCUGGAAGAGGACUGACCAUUUGCUUUCUAGGGAGGGUAAGACAUAGGGACUCUGGAUUGUGUGACAUCAGGCCAGACUGAGCCCAAGGGCACUGCACUGGAAACAGGAGGAUUCGGAGACGGUGGAUGUGUUGGACAUUGAAACACACCCUGUUCCCCUUCUUCUGUCGCACCCCCAGAAUGCUGGCUCCUGGGCCUUUGCCCUGCACACAGAGAAUUGGGAGAAUCUCUGCUAAAUCUAGAAGCCCAGAUGAAAAGACGUGGAGAAGUUGACAUAGGAGCUCCCCCAACAGCUGCUGCAGCCUAGCACCUCACAAUGAAGCUCAAGGAAGUUCCUCCCAUUCGGACGGCUGCAGACGCACAGACAGGCAGGGAAAGCCUCUGCUAGGAAAGUCAGAGGAUAAAGCAAACAAGUAAGGGAAACUUAGAGGGAAAGAAAUUAUGCAAAGAGAAGAAAAUUUCCAAAAAGUAUCACUAAUAGCCUCUGAGAGGUAAGACAACAUACUGCAUGCAUGAAACAAGAACAGAGUGCUGUAAAACAAGAACACUUACAGAACAAAAAGUAUUACUGGAAAAUUAAAAAUGUGAACAUAAAAAGAACAAUUUUAUAGGAAUACUGAAAAAUCAAAUUGAGGAAAAUAUUCCCAAAAUAAUUCUGAAAAAAAGGCAAUAAUUAGAAAAUCAUCCCAAGAAAUUCAACAUGCAAAUAAGAACAGUACCAAAAAAAAAAAGAAUAGUGAAAAUGGAGAGGAGAGAAGAUUCAUCAACAAAAAGACACAAGAGGGGCCAGUGCUGUGGCAUAGCCAGUAAAGCCACCGCCUAUAGUGCCGACAUCCCACAUGGGUGCCCGUUCGAGUCCUGGCUGUUCCACUUCCAAUCCAGCUCUCUGCUAUGGCUUUGGAAAGCAGUGAAAGAUGGCCCAAGUUCUUGGGUCCCUGCACCCACGUGAAAGACUCGGAAGAAGCUCCUGGCUCCUGGCUUCAGAUCGGCUCAGCUCUGGCUGUUGUGGGCAUUUGGGGAGUGAACCAGAGGAUGGAAGACCUCUCUUUCUGUCUCUCCCUCUCACUGUCUAUAACUCUGUCUCUCAAAUAAAUAAAUAAAAUCUUUUAAAAAAAGGAAUAGAAUAAUUUAGACAAGCAAAUUCUCAAAAUUUUACCUUCUACAUUCUUUUCCCUCAAAGCCAUUGAGAGAUAGGCUCUAUGAAAUGAGAGAGCAAACUAAAAAGACAAAAAUAACCCACAUUCCAUAGUGUUAGCUUCUUAGGGCUGCCGUGACAACCUGGAGAAGCAUCCCAUUAUCCAUGGGCUAAACCUCCCAACAUCCUGUGGGAGCCUAACAGUGCUGAACCCUGUACACACCAUGUUCUGUGCUUGCCACAGAUAGGAGCAACCCCCACAUGGGAUGUGUCUUCUUUCUCUGUUGAGAUCAUUCAUCUUUUCAGUUAUAAAGGAAGCACUUUAGAGCUUGUCCUUGGCAUACCUGAAACACAAGAACUACGACUCUUGCACUUUGAGGCCACUAUUAAGUAAAAUAAGACUCCGCUGUGAUGCUGCGCUGGUAGAUUUGAUGACUGAGUGACUGAGGGACUGGGAGUGUGUAGGGUGCACAGACCCUGGGCAGGGGGAUAACACAUCUGGUGUGGGACAGCGCAGGUCUUUGCAGAAUUUCAUCUCACUACCCAGAACCCUGUGCAAUGACUUGUUUCUUUCUGGAAGGUUGCAUUUGUAUCUUUGCACUGCAGUAGACCAUGGGUAACUGAAUGAUGUAAAAUGAGGACAGAGAUAGGGGAGGGCCACAGUAGCAAAAACUGGGUAGUUUACAAGAGAAAUGUGUUGUCUCAUAGUUCUGGAGGCCAGAGGCCCAACAGCACAGUACCUGCAGGCCCAUGCUCCCUCCAGGGAGGGUCCUUGCUUCUUCAAGUUUCUGCUGUAUAUAGGUGUCUGGCUUGUGGCAGCCGAAGUUGUCUGCCUAUGUUGUCAUGAGGCUGUCUUCCCCCUGCAUAGCUAUCUCUGUGUCUCUUGCUUUUCUUCCAGUAAGUCCCUCAGGCAUGUUGGAUGAAAAAAGAGCCCAUCCUACAGUUGUGUGACCUCACCUUAACUAAUUAUAACCAUCCUCUUUCCAAAUGACGUCAUAUUCUGAGGUUCUGGAAAAGACCUGAAGUCUUGCGAGACGAGAUUUAAUCCAGGAGCAGGUGCAGAAACCAGAGGUGAGAGGAACUCUCAGAACAAGGAUGAAGGAUUAGCCCAGCUGGCAGCACGCACAGGGGUAACCAGGUCAGACUGUGCUGGUGAGCUGCUCUUCAGGAAGCAGACAUAAUGACUGUUUAUCAAGCUAAAAGUGCAACAGAAGCGCAGGGAGCGGCUAGGGACCGGGACGCCAAAGUGGAGGGAGGAAGCAGUUAAGUCCUUAACAUCCAUGGCGGCAAAUUCAUGGGUAACACCCACACUGGAAAAGCAGGAAGCAGCUGCGAGCAUAUAUGGAGACAGGCGGUAAAUAUUAAAAGAUGGAAAACGUUGUUCCCCCAGAAGGGGAAAGGGAGGGGAGGAAGACUAGUGAAUGUUGUUUGUCUUCACAGACCUGGUAGAACCAGUUGAACUAUGUGUAUUUAUAACCUCAACUAGGAAAAAAGUCAAAAGAAGAGCAAAGGCACAGUUUGGGCCAAAGCACCAACAGCUCUGUGCACCGUGCACCACGCCAUAUGCAUGUUUUAUAGCUAGAGUUGGCCUACGGCAAUGGCUCUCUCUCACACAGUACACCUGCCUGCCUCUGGGGACAUCUGCCUAUGUCUGAAGGCAUUUUUCAUACUCACACCUGGAGUAGGAGUGCUUCCAACCUUUGGGAGGUAGAAGCCAGAGAUGCUGUUGAACACCCUACGAUGCCCAGGACAGCCCGGCAGCACAGAACUAUCUGAUCCAAAAUACCUACAGUGCCGAACUUGAGAAAUCCUUGUGGAACAGGUGUGUGGACUGCAGACUGCAGGUAAACUAACCUUUUCUUUUUUUUAAGAUUUAUUUAUCUGAAAGGCAGAAUUACACAGGGGCAAAGGCAAAGAGAGAGAGAGGUUUUCCAUCUGCAGGUUUACUCCUAAAUGGCCACAAUGGCCAGAGCUGCACCGAUCCAAAGCCAGGAGCCAGGAGCUUCUUCCAGGUCUCCCACAUGGGUACAGAGGUCCAAGGACUUGGGCCACCAUCUACUGCUUUCCCAGGCUACAGCAAAGAGCUGGAUGGGCAGUAGAGCAGCAGGGACUCGAACCGGAACCCAUCUGGGAUGCUGGCACUGCAGACAGCAGCUUUACCUGCUACGCCACAGCGCAAGUCCACUGCAGGAUUUUGUGUAAGGGGCCUGGGCUUCUGCAGAGUCCAGGAUCGGGGUUGGGGGGAGGGUAAGGGUGGUCAUUGAACCGCUCCCCUGUGUACACUGAGGGAUGGGUGGCAGCAACACAGGAGUGAUAAAAUAGGCAGUAAGAGGCCAGUGCCGUGGCUCACUAGGCUAAUCCUCUGCCUGUGGCGCCGGCACCCCGGAUUCUAGUCCCGGUUGGGCACCGGAUUCUGACCCAGUUGCUCCUCUUCCAGGCCAGCUCUCUGCUGUGGCCCGGGAGUACAGUGGAGGAUGGCCCAAGUGCUUGGGCCCUGCACCCGCAUGGGAGACCAGGAGAAGCACCUGGCUCCUGGCUUUGGAUCGACACAGCACGCCGGCCGCAGCAGCCACUUGGGGGGUGAACCAACAGAAAAAGGAAGACCUUUCUCUCUGUCUCUCUCUCUCUCUCUCAUUGUCUAACUCUGCCUGCCCAAGAAAAAUAAAUAAAUAAAUAAAUAAAUAGGCAGUGAGAAAGACACAGAAAUAGCAACAGCAAACCCAAAGUAGAUACCGAGAGGUAAGAUGUUGGUGGAUUGAGCAAGGUCUAGAGGAAAAAACUCCAGCAGGGGCCGGCAUGGUGGUGCAGCAGGUUAAGCCACCACCUAAGACACCUGCACCCUAUACUGGAGUGGUGACUGAGCCCGCCUGCUCUGCUUCCGAAUCCAGCUCCCUACUAAUGCAUCUGGGAAGGCAGCGGAAGACGACCAAGUGCUUGGGUUCCUGCCACCCACAUGGGAGACGUGGAUGGAGCUUCUGGAUCCUGGAUCCUGGCUUCAGUUUGGUCUAGAUCUGGUUGUUGCUGGCAUGUGGGGAGUAAACCAGUGUGGACGGGAUAUCUCUCUCGCUCUCUCUCUUUUCUCUCUCUGUCAUUCUGCCUUUCAAAUAAACAAAGAUAUCUUUCAAAAAUUUUUCAAACAAAGGCGGCAUGGGUCCUCUGUUAUCAGGUAGACCGUGGUAUGUGUGAGAAAAUGCGGGGCCCGAGGAUGAGCGCAGAUACAUUGGGAAAGACACACAGACGAACUGUCGCUCACCCUCUUCGCGGAGGAACGACACCAAACCCUGCCUAGGCUUCAUAUCCGAGUCACGGCACCAUUAUGUCGCUCCCCGUCUUCGUGGAGGAACGACACAGGACCCUGCGCUGUUCUUUUGUCUGCUCGGCCCUCCCCGGGUUUGCUGCUGGUUCUUCCCAGGUUGGCUACCGUCCCUUCCACCUCCGUGGAAGGGCGGUUCCCCCUGCCACUUUCCCCACUUCCGCGGGGGAGCGGCACACCGCUGGCCGGCUCUCUUGGGGGCUGCACAGGUGUUCCUUCAGAUAGAUGUUCCUGGUGCAUGUUGUCUCUCUCCUCCUUUAUAAUCCUCUUCCGCCAAUCCCAACUCUGCUACCCACACGCCGAGUACGCUGCUCUCCUCCAAUCAGGAGCAGGUCCUACAGUUUAUUGGUUGAACUGGAGGCAGCUGUGUAGAAGCUGUUACUCCCUUCUCAGCGCCAUAUUGUGGGAGAGCAGAUGCAUAGAAUAAGUCUUAAUUCCAGUAACAGUCUAGUCCGAAUUGCUCCCCACAACGAACCAGGCGCGAUGCCGGGAGUAUUCCGAGGGUGGAAAAUGUGCAUUAUGAAAAGCUAGGGCCACAUUUCAAAAUCAUUUUGCAUCAAAGUAAAGGUCUCCUUUAUUUCCCUCUUUUCCACGAACUCUUCAAAGCAGCCUCACAGUACGAGGGGGAAGCUGACUACUACAAAGCCCUGGUGACUUCAGCCACGGUCACAGAGCCCCUGUUCCAGCCUGGCCCUGUCUGCCCGGGUGGUCCUGGAUGCCCAAUUAAUGCCAACUGUGUCCGGUGUUUUAUCCACAUCCAAUCAGAAACGCUUUUCCCCGUGGGGAGAGGGGCUCCCAGAGUUGCCGUGGGUUCCCGGGGGUCCAGCCAGGACAGGGCAGGGCGGGAGGAGGCUCCACACAACAGCUCUUGGCACAACACUUAUUUACAUGCCUGGGGACACUUGCGAUUUUUGCCCCUCUGUCUUCUCACCAGGAACUCUGCCAGUGUCACCCUGCCACUCCUGAACCUCGAUGCUGUGUGUUUUAUCGGGAGGAUCCGGGAGCCCCCAGAGGGGCCGGCUGCAGGAGUGAUAGAUCGGAAGCUCUUCAUUCUCUUUGUCCCCUGGUUGUGCCGCGAUUCUGUCUGGUGCUGCCCUUCCUUCUCUCUGCAGGACCCUACACACCCCAUCCCCCAGAGCUGGCCAGAGCACAGCAUUGUGUCUCAGCCCCAUUCACCCUGGAAACUGUUGAGUCUGCCCUGACACGGACCCCCAUGACGGAGCUGUGCCGCUGUUCGAAGCAGCCAGCCCCAGGGCCUUCCGGAAAUUGCUGACAUUCGUGCAACCUCUGCCUGACCUGGCGAGCCCCGCGGGACUUAGCACCCCAAAACUAAAGGUCUCUGACGUGGCUACCAGGCUGCACCGUCAAGGAAUUUAAGGACUGGGGGAGCAAAGUUCUGAUCGAGACGGCAGAUCCAAGACUCACUAUGGAAACAUGGAGUCAGGUCUCGGCUCCGGUCAGUGGAUCUCAGCCAGAGAUGAGGAAAGGGCCAUGCAGGAAGAGCAGGAGACUUCCUGAGGCCACAGCGCAAGUCCGUGGAGGAGCUGGGGUUAAUGCGGCCCGAUCUGUGCUCAUUCUGAGCCUCCCUGGAAUCUGUAAGCGGAACUGGAGACCCAGACGGGACCAAAUGACACUGGCUGGACAGACUGAUCCAAGAGGCCGCGAGAGUUUGCUACAAAGAGCACCGAUCCUGGAGAGGUCUGGGGGAGACCAGAGAGGCUCCAGGGUUUGCGCGUUAUGCGGGUUUUGCAUGAAGUGGACAUGAGUUCCAUCACCAAAUCCCCCCACAGCACAUGUAAAUGGUGCCCCUUGGGUCUUUAACUAGGUGACAGAACCCACCAGUUCACAGUCAAAAAAGAGAGCUUAUGUAGACCUCACAACACUUCGAGAGAUUCAAGAGGGGGAUCCCGAAGACUAUCGCUCACGGAAUGCCAACCAUGUGCCAAGCACUCGCUCUGCUAGACUCCCAUAGAGACUCCUGCAUGGCCUGCUUCUGGGAUCCUACACAGUACCUUAGCUCCAGUCUCAUGGACCAGAAAACAGAGCUUCACAGAACUUAAGCACAGCCAGGAGCAAAGCCAGCGACAUGGAGCCCUCGGACUUACCCAAACCCCCUGCCCUGGUGCCUGGUGGGAUCAGUCAUUACUAAGGGGUACUGGGCUGUCGUGAGGACACAGGGGCAUUGGAGGGACCCUCAGAGAAGACCCCCGAGGGAUUCCACAGCAUUCCUAUGCAGCUCUCAGCACUUGUCAGACACACACGCCCAGGGAGUCCCAGCAGGGAGGCGGACAUUGGCUUCCAACAAGCCCACACACAGAGGCGACUCUGGUCUCCAUUCCAUGGCCUCAGAAGAAAGGCCUGCUCUCUCUCUCUUUUUUUUCUGCAUUGACCCAACCCAAGGUCAAGAAAUGCUUCCAUAUAGACACUCUCAGGCUGCAGCCAAUUUCCUCCUCGCUGCUCCAGAGGGGAGACGGAGAACAGCUGGCGGCCACCGUUCUCUGCAGAUUUGUCAUGGACCUGAAGACUCCUUAUAUAAUCAGCCUUCCCCUUGGUGAAAUCAUCCCACUCCCUCCCAACUUUUCUCGGAGCUGAUUUAUUCUCCAAGUCUCCUAUGCAAUGUGUUGACCACUUUGGAAGUUCUCUGUGUUCCUGUCAAGGUGUAGAGCCCACACUGGACAUGAUGGAGAGCCCAUCGCUCGGGAACAAAUGUCUUCUCAGAAAUGUGGUCAGACGGUCAAUUCCUCGUCAAGCCAGCAGGUGACGGGGAUGAGAGCUGGGGUUCCGAUUCAAGCUCCUUCUUGUACACGCCAUGCGAGCUCAAACAAAUCAUCUGGGCUUGCAAGUCUUCCUGUAUCUCCGGGGCAGGGGGAAUAAUGACCUUCCUUCAAGGUUCCACGAGGAGACUUCACAAAGUGAUGCAACAUGUGGAUUAUGAAAAAUUACAUGGGUUUCCUAUUUUUGCACCACAAUAAACCUCUUUUCAUUCCAUUUUCUGCAAUCUUUUGGAAAUGCCUUCACACAUAAAGUGCUUGACACCCCAUGUCCCGGUAGGAACACUCUGCCCAGCAGCUGUCCUGCCUUUACUGUUGCCCCUCCCUUCCCCACCACGAAGUGGAGCUGCUUCAUUGUUCAUAAUUCUUCUGACUCCAACGAGCAAAUCAAACGCUGGAAGCUCCUCUCUGGGCCUGUCUUCCGUGCUGAAGAAGCAAGCCCUGGAUGUGUCUACACCAGACAGCUCCCAUGUCCCAAGGAGGUCUGCCGAGGGGCUCCUGCUUUGGGUGGAGAGCGGCUUGGUGGCUUCUAAAACUCCCCAGCAUCCCCAAGAUUCGGUUUCAAACCCAGUUGCACCUGGACUCUUCCCUCUCCUCCAUUGUCCUCCAAGAAAUUCAACCGGCUUUCGGUGGGGGAAAAGGAGGGCGGACGUUACUCUGUCUUCCUUGCAGCAGUUCCUCAUCAGACAUGAAUGCCCCCCAAAUUCCCCCUCUCCUGUGCUUCUCCUUUAGUCUUCCUUUACCAGAGUCUCCCCAAAUUGCAACGCAGUUUUGCCAGCAAACUUGUCUGCUCCAUCCAGGUCAGCUAUACCGGGUAACAAGAUCCACCCUCCUCCACGGGCAAUUUAGAGACCAUAUACUCUUCCUAUAGCCUGGCCUCUGGCUGGGUGGAUCUGACUCCACCUGCAAAGGCACUUAUCAGUCAAUUCCUUUCUUCCACACAGAAUGUUUUUCUGAGAAAUUCCUAAGUAAAACAAUUUUCCCCAUCUUCUACACAAUUCAAUGAUUUCUGUCUCCAGUUCCAAGAGCUUGUAUUCCUUCCCUAUAAGAAACUGUGUUAAGAAAUAGUUAUCUCUAUAUAAUAUUUUAGGAAUCCCCUUGCUUUUUUUUUCUUAAUGAUUUAUUUCAACAGAGUGAGAGAGAGGGAGUGAGACAAAGAAGAAAGAGAUUUCUCCAUCCAUAGAUUCACUCUGCAAAGGUUCACAACAGUCAGAACUAGGCCAGACUGAAGCUGGGAGCCAGGAACUUCAUGGAGGUCUCCCGUGUGGGUGGCAGAAACCCAAGUACUUGGGCCACUCCCCAAGUAUAGCAACAGGAAGCUAAAUCAGAAGCACAGAGUAACCGGGACUCAAACUGGCCCUCAUAGGGGAUGCAGGUAUCGUAGGUGCAGCUUAACCUGCCACACCACCAUGCCAGCCCCUCCGUUGCAUUUUUUUUUCUAAUCUAUGUUCUCUGAUGAUUUUCAUCUGAACAUUUGCAGCCUCUCAUAGAGCUAGGCUGCAGCCCCACAACUGGCCCACAGGUGGCAGUAGCUCACAUGCUUAGACAGAUGAGCCAAGAUUUGAGGUUUCAGGUUAUGUGGAAUGAAUUAGCUGGAAAACUGAAAAAUUACUGAAUGAUCUUCCAGGAAAAGGGAGUCACUGAGCGCGACUGGCUCCUGCCAAGGCUCUAGUUCACAGCGCACUUUCCCCCUUGAUUUACGUUGUGGGUUUCACCGAGAUCCCAGCCCCACAGCACCGGUCAGCCUCUUUCGGUCCUUCCUGCCGGGUUGCAGUCAGCGAGUCUUUCCAGUUGCUCUUGGGUCACAUGUCAGGGAGACCUCCAAGGGCAGCAAGACCCCACGACGCAAUGAGUUUGUUAUUAAGUCACAGGCGUGGCCCUCUGUUGAAGGAAGUUGGCCUCCUGCCUCCGGAAUGCAGUGUGAUUCCUUCUCAGCCCAAAGACAAGGCUUAAGCUGCACACUGCUCAGAGUGCCGUCCAGGUAGAAAAACCCACUUCUGACUCUUUAUAAAGCCCCCUUCCUAGUUAGAAUUUUUACCAGCAUUUGCAAAGCAGCUUUGCAGCAAAUCAGAGGAGACUGGUGUUCGACAGUACUGGGAAAACCAAGCUGGCCAGCGUCGUGUUUUCAUUCAGAACCGUGAUCAGAUGAUGGAAGCUUUCACCAGACUCUUGUCUGCCUCAGCUUCAGCCAGGCAGAGAAGCGAGGCUGUGGUGAGAGGGGAGAGUCAGCUGAUGGUCUUCUGGGUGCACUUUCGACAGGAGUGGCCUCUUAAAGCUGCUGGGCGGGACUUCCGGUAGAAUAUAACUCACCAACCACAACACAGCUUGACGAACAGUCAAAUCUCUGUCCAUGGGGCCAGAGGCACAGGGUGCUAGGCUGCCACCUGCCACGCCAGCAUCUCUUUUGAGCCACAGUUCAAGUCCCAGCCUCUCCACAUCUGAUCCAGCUCCCUGCUAACGCUCCUGGGAAAGCAGCAGAAAGUGGCUCAAGUCCUUGGGCCCCUGCCACCCAUGUGGGAGACCCGGAUGGAGUUCCUGGUCCUGCCCUAGACAUUUGAGACCAUUGGGGGAGUGAACCAAAGGGCAGAAGAUGCCCGCCCUCCUCACCUUGAUGUCACUCUGUCUUUCAAAUAAAUAAAAUAAAUCAAUAAAAUCAAAUAAAAUCUCUGUCCUACAUACAAGGGGUACU